rfam:Propionibacterium freudenreichii subsp. shermanii CIRM-BIA1, complete genome
GCGCUGCUAGCUCAACUGGCAGAGCAUCUGACUCUUAAUCAGAGGGUUCAGGGUUCGAGUCCCUGGCGGCGCA